rnacentral:tRNA from 1 species
UCUGGAAAACGCUUGAAGGUCAAGCGCUCACGCUUAUCGGCUCGGCAGCCUGCAACAAUGUUUGCGGUGAUUGGUGGCGUUUCAUUGCAGCCCUCUUGGGUCUGUAGCUCAGCUGGUUAGAGCACCGUCUUGAUAAGGCGGGGGUCGUUGGUUCGAGCCCAACCAGACCCACCACCCUACGAUUGGUGCGAUUCACCUGGGGGUGUAGCUCAGCUGGGAGAGCACCUGCUUUGCAAGCAGGGGGUCAUCGGUUCGAUCCCGUUCACCUCCACCAUCAAACGCAAGUGCAUAUUUUAUUUGUGUAUUUGCGUUUGAUUUUUCAAUAGGCUGCGUUCUUUAACAAUUCGAAAAGCUGAUAAUUGCAUUUGUAUAUGCAUUUGCGAUUGCAUCAAAACUUUGUCAACGUACUAUUUCUUUGGCUUAGGUCAAGGUUAUAG